CCCUUAGAUGUCCGGGGCCGCACGCGCGCUACACUGAAGGAAUCAGCGUGGCUUUCUCCCUGACCCGAAAGGGUUGGGAAACCCGUUGAAUCUCCUUCGUGAUAGGGAUUGGGGCUUGAAAUUGUUCCCCAUGAACGAGGAAUUCCCAGUAAGCGCGAGUCAUAAGCUCGCGUUGAUUACGUCGCUGCCCUUUGUACACACCGCCCGUCGCUACUACCGAUUGAACGGUUUAGUGAGGGCCUCGGAUUGGUCUCGGCCCGCUCUUUACCGGGCGGCGCCGUUGGUCGAGAAGACGCUCGAACUUGAUCGUUUAGAGGAAGUAAAAGUCGUAACA
rnacentral:rRNA from 1 species